UGGGAUUAAAGGAAUGCGCCAACACUGCC
rnacentral:piRNA from 1 species